rnacentral:lncRNA from 1 species
CCCUUAUUAACCAGACAAUGGACGAGCCGACUUCCGGUUGCUUCGCGCCGAAGCGGCCACACACAGCGGACCUGGCACUAUUUAUCCAGGCCGCUGGGUGGCGCUCGGGUUUGGCCGGCCGAUGGAGGAAAAGCAACGCGAAAGACCGGCAACACAGACGCUGACAAACACUGAACACAGGUAUGUAUUAACACGAUAACAUGACAAAACAUAGGAACAUAGAAACAAAAGACAACUCAGGUAUGUAUGCGUGUUGUUAUGCGCAGCAUGGAUACUGAUGGGGAUGGAAAUGGAGUGGAUAUGUUUGCGUGUAUGAAGACCAACGUACUAAUGGCGUUGCGUGUGCACCCACACCGCCCCAGCAGAGAACGGAGGAUGAGGCAGAGUGAGAGCGGCUGGGACCACCUGACACUGGAUCACCCCCAUGGAAUCCUGGAAAUGGCGGAGUUCAUUCAGCGGAGCCACACCACGGGAGAGCUGGCAUCCCUGAAUUGUGUUUAUUUGUUGGCACCCUGUCGUGAAAACCUUCCCAUCAACUGCAUAUUAAUCUUGUCAGCAAAUUUCUAAAGGUCUUUCUUCCUUUGCAUCCACACCCCUCCCAGCUCAAACUUCUGAUGAAUUUAUGGCCCUCUCCUCACCUCCUCACUCAGCUCAGCCUUGCUCCUGUUCUCCUCCUGUUUCUCGACUCCUCUACUCCUUUCCUUUCCGGUCCAUAUACAUGUCCUGUAUAUCCACACAUGCAUUAAUACACAGGCUUCAUUGGUGACAUGUAGCCAUCAUAGAAGGUCAGUAAGAGCUCCAGUGAACAGAAACCUCUCAAUCCUGCUGAGAGCCCAUCUACUGGCUAAAGUAAUGGCGACAAUCACAAUCUGGCUGAAUACACCUAUAGACUGAAAGUAAUCAUUAUUGGCUUACAUUCUCUCACUCUGACUGUAAACAUUGGACUGGAAAAGGUGCAUUGCUAAUAUAAAUCUGCAAAUUACCAGGCCCACGUGGUAUGUGUGCCGUGCGUGCAAAACUUUAUACUUUAAGAAAAGUCUGUCUUAAUAUGAUUUUCCAUAUUCAUUUCUCACAGAUGUUUUACCUGUAUUUUCAAUUAUGAAAGGAAAUAUCUGUUACUGGUAAUUUUUUUUGCUAGGACAUGUUUUUUUCUUACAGUGACCAGCUCAGCAGGUUACUGUCAUUCAUAAAAUUAUAAAAAUGUCCUAUGUUAUGUUAGGCUUAUUUAUAUACUAUUAAAUUGUUUGUC